AUUGAACGCUGGCGGCAGGCCUAACACAUGCAAGUCGAACGGUAACAGGGAUCAGCUUGCUGAUUCGCUGACGAGUGGCGGACGGGUGAGUAAUGCCUGGGAAACUGCCUGAUGGAGGGGGAUAACUACUGGAAACGGUAGCUAAUACCGCAUAACGUCGCAAGACCAAAGAGGGGGACCUUCGGGCCUCUUGCCAUCGGAUGUGCCCAGAUGGGAUUAGCUAGUAGGUGGGGUAACGGCUCACCUAGGCGACGAUCCCUAGCUGGUCUGAGAGGAUGACCAGCCACACUGGAACUGAGACACGGUCCAGACUCCUACGGGAGGCAGCAGUGGGGAAUAUUGCACAAUGGGCGCAAGCCUGAUGCAGCCAUGCCGCGUGUAUGAAGAAGGCCUUCGGGUUGUAAAGUACUUUCAGCGGGGAGGAAGGGAGUAAAGUUAAUACCUUUGCUCAUUGACGUUACCCGCAGAAGAAGCACCGGCUAACUCCGUG
rnacentral:rRNA from 1 species